UUAACAUCUUUUCCAUCAUAAUUCUCAUAGUAAUAAUAGUAAUGUUAAUAUAAUAAUAAUGUUAUUAUUACUGUGAGAAUUAUGAUGGAAAAGAAGUUAUUA